UCAGGUGAUUUGGGAGCUGACUGCCUCGCAGCUGGAGCUCAUGUCUAAUCAAGGACUGCUCUUAAGCAGUGAGCUGCAGAGGACCAGUGGCGGUUCUGGGGAGGGGCCAGCAGGGGCCAGUGCCCCUGUAACAUUGAACCUGGACCCCCCUGUGGCCCCCCCACUCAGAAUAAAAAUUGAUACAAUAAUGAAAAUUGCAUGUCCCGCCGAUGCAAAAAAAAAAAAAAUGUGUGUGGCAUCUUUGUCCAGUCGGAUCCUUUAGUGCGCUGCACCAUAGCCAGACUGGCUUACAACGUGGAUGACAACUUUUGAGCAUGAUGAAAUAUACCACUCGUGAAGAGACAGAAGAGUCAGUUACCAAGGAGAUUAAAGUUCAAAAUGAAGAGAAAAAAGCCAAAGGACAUAACAUCCUAUUUCUGCCCAUCAAAGAAAAUCGUCAAUGACGAGGCAGCUCAUAUUGAGACAGAGCCAGAUGAUUCUGGUGAGAUAGCUGAAGAGAGGCGACAGGUGGUGGUUGAGGGCACCAUAGAAAGAGAGACAGACACAGUGAACAUUGAAGAAAGUGGUUUGUAAAGUGAGGGCACAGAGGAGGACAGAGAAACAAACGAAGAUCCUGAGAGUGAAGAGGGGGACAUACAAGCACAGAGUGAGACAGAGACAGAGGAUCCAUGUGCAUCAACAAGCACUGGACCAUCAGAUAUCAGCAGAUGUAGAGAGGACCCACCAAUGCAGCCGAAAUUAAC